rnacentral:lncRNA from 1 species
UGAUAAACAGAUCCUUAGCUGAGGCUGGGUGUGCAGGAGCAGGUGAAUGUAUCUACUGUGUGUGGUCCUGGUCCUGGUCCAGGUGAGGUCCAGUAUGGAGGCCGGGUCACAGACGACCUGGACAAGCGGCUGCUCAACACCUUCACCCAGGUCUGGUUCAGUGAAAAAACCUUCAGCGACAACUUCUUUUUCUACAAAGGCUACACCAUCCCCACCAAGGCCAAGACGGUCCAGGACAUCCUGCAGCACAUCGAGGCGCUGCCGCUGGUCGACUCCCCAGAGGUGUUUGGACUCCACCCCAACGCUGACAUCACCUAUCAGACCAACCUGGCCAAUGAGACGCUCAGCACCAUCAUCAACAUCCAACCGAAGGACAGCGGAGGCGGAGCCGGGGAGACCAGGGAGGCCAGCGUACAGAGAUUAGCCAAUGAGAUGCUGGAGAAGCUGCCACCUGACUACGUACCACAUGAGGUGAAAAGUCAGCUGCAGAGGUUGGGUCCGCUGCAGCCAAUGAACAUCUUCCUCCGACAGGAAGUGGACCGCAUGCAGCGAGUCAUCAGCAUCGUACGGACCACGCUCACUGACCUCAACCUGGCCAUCAACGGUGAGUCUCCGCCCCCCACGCCGGUGGGUUUUAAGGGUGAACAGGUGUGACGUGUGCGUGUGCGUCCACAGGGACCAUCAUCAUGUCCGAGGACCUGCGAGACGCUCUGGACUGCAUGUUCGACGCUCGCAUCCCUCGGCUGUGGCUGCGCCUCAGCUGGCCCUCGGCCACGCUGGGGUUCUGGUUCAGCGAACUCCUGGAGCGGAACCAGCAGCUGAG